UACGGGGGGGGCAAGCGUUGUUCGGAAUUACUGGGCGUAAAGGGCUCGUAGGCGGCCAACUAAGUCAGACGUGAAAUCCCCAGGCUUAACCUGGGAACUGCGUCUGAUACUGGAUGGCUUGAGAUUGGGAGAGGGAUGCGGAAUUCCAGGUGUAGCGGUGAAAUGCGUAGAUAUCUGGAGGAACACCGGUGGCGAAGGCGGCAUCCUGGACCAACACUGACACUGAGGAGCGAAAGCCAGGGGAGCAAACGGG
rnacentral:rRNA from 1 species